rnacentral:tRNA from 1 species
GGAAGCGCAUGGGGCCCGGUGGCCCCCCCGGUCUUCAAAACCGCGUGUCGGGCGGUAACCCCGUCCAGGGUGGGUUCGACUCCCACACGCUUCCGCCA